rnacentral:lncRNA from 1 species
UGACGACCUUGACAGGCCAGGGACUGCCUGCCUCCUGAACUCUGUCUUCUGUAGGACAUGAACUUCUCAUUAACUAAGAAGUCCUGAUAGCACUGCCAAUCCCAUGUGACAGUGGACCUCAUUCAAGAUGACCUGAUAAUUGGAAGGCACAAGAAAUUCUGGAGUAUGAGCAGUCACCACUCUGGUUAAAUCUCCACACUGAUAAACUGAAGACCAGUACUGCAAGCAACAAUUCACCAUACAACUGGCCUUUAUGCAGCUAAGAUACACACUCAAGCAACAGAAUUACUGAGCUUUAAAAGAAAGAGAUAUUUGGUCCAUCUAAUCUAAAUUUAUCAGUCAAAUCAGAGGUUUUGUCUUAUGUACUGAAGAUAAACAGUCAUCUUGUUUUUGAAUUGCCUUUCAAAAGUUUUCUGUGUUAUAUUAUACUAUGUAACAUAUUCUUUGUGCACUAUUUUCAACAAUUUUUGUCCAGUUCAGCCCAGUUUCAUGACUAAUGGUAUGGGGGGGACUCAUGGACCCAUACCCCAGAACAGGGGGAAGGGGGAAAAGGUAAAAGGUAGGGUGAUGGGCCUAAGAUCAAAAUAGUGGCAGUGAGCUAAGGGAGAAAACUAAUUUACUAAAUAUGAUAGUGGAAUGUGAGAUAACACAAUAUAGUACAAUACAAUUGGAAUUGAAGCUAAUAAAUCAAAUAAAAUGAGUGAGAAAGUGCAAAACUGAAGGCCUUACUCUAAUGCUGAAGGUGAGAAGGCUAGGAAGCACACAAUGCAGAGGCAAGCAGAAGAAGAGACGGUCUCCUGGGGAGGGGAAGGAAGAGGAGAGUGGGAGGCAAUAAAGCUGUGGAGGCUUGGAGGAGAGGGCUGCUACUUGGGGAAUUAGCUGGGUGGUACUGGUUGGUGGGCAGUGAGACAUUGCAUGGCUAGAUUAUUUUAACACCAUGGAUGAUGCAACUAAGUUUAGAGACUAUCAAUACCUAUUUUACUGGGGGUUCUCUUUCCUAGAACACAGUCCCCCUCCUGUAUCAGAGAACGCCAUUUGCUACUGAUACAGGUGGACUCAGACCAUUACAGCAUAUGGGAUUAAAAAACAAACAAACAAACAAACAAACAAAAACCCUUAACCAGGAGAAUCUUAGAAGAAUGUUAAUAAAUGAAACAUUGACCCUUUGAGAUAACUUAGAGUUCUUUAGAAGGAAUCAUAGUGCUGUGAUCUAAAUGCAGCUCAGCUUUUCCCAUCUUCUCCUUUCAUGGGCAAACUUAACAGCUGGGGCCUCACACAAGACACAUUUGACAGAUAAAGAACUCAGAUGCCAAAGUCUAGAAUAAAUUUUUUAGCAGUAACAUCUGUGUCUGUUGCAAAGCCCUUGGCUGAUUUCUUGGCUGGCUGCUUGACUGUCUCUGCUGUGUCUGUGACUCGAGAGCUGGCUAUGCUAAUGGCCAUGUAGUGGCCCCCCAUGCCCUCUUGGGGAAUUAAACUGCUGAUAAACUUGCUGGCUUGCCUUGUCCCUGGGAUCUUUUUUAUUUUUACUUUUUAUUUUUUUAGCUUUGAGUGACCUGCAGCUGGAGCAGUUUGUUCUUUAUUUGAGAAAAAGGCCCCUGAUCAAAUGCUCACAAGUUGAGUGUAUGCAAGGCCAAUUGAUGAUGCCAACGGAAUAUUUUGCUGUCUACUAUAAAG